AUACGUAGGGUGCAAGCGUUAAUCGGAAUUACUGGGCGUAAAGCGUGCGCAGGCGGUUUUGUAAGACAGAGGGGAAAUCCCCGGGCCCAACCUGGGAAAUGCCUUUGUGACUGCAAGGCUAGAGUACGGCAGAGGGGGGUGGAAUUCCGCGUGUAGCAGUGAAAUGCGUAGAUAUGCGGAGGAACACCGAUGGCGAAGGCAAUCCCCUGGGCCUGUACUGACGCUCAUGCACGAAAGCGUGGGGAGCAAACAGGAUUAGAUACCCUGGUAGUCCACGCCCUAAACGAUGUCAACUGGUUGUUGGGUCUUCAUUGACUCAGUAACGAAGCUAACGCGUGAAGUUGACCGCCUGGGGAGUACGGCCGCAAGGUUGAAACUCAAAUGAAUUGACGGGG
rnacentral:rRNA from 1 species